rnacentral:lncRNA from 1 species
AGUGAUGAAGAUAUGCAGUUCACGAAGUGACCAGAAGGUGUCGGUGUAAACCUGCAGGAGAGCCAGAGACGCUUCAUUCACACACAUGACUGGAGCUUCUCUGCGUUUACUUCCCAUGUGCGUGCAACUGCAACUGACGCUGAGAGAUACACCUGCUUUUUAUUAGAGCCGUAAUCCAACUCCAGUCGCUCUUGAGGAAGCAGAGAAGAGAUAGAGGUGAAGGGGAAGCUCUGAGUCCCAUUUUGGGUGGUGGUGAAGAUACAGCAGGUCCACAUCAACAUGAGACACAGGCAGCCUCUGUGACGGCCAGCUGCGCGUCUGGAAUACAAGUCAUCUAAUUACGUGGAAAAGAUGGCCACCGACCGCCAGCAAACAAACAGAGUCCCUCUCACCUGUCGCCUGACCUACUUUACCAUGGAAAACACUGCUGGGCUGCUGUAAAGUCGGGAGAUGACAUUCCCGCUUGUUUUUGGGGCUUGGAGGCCUGGUGUAGCACAGUGGGUGGGUUCAGCUCUCCGGCUCUGAAGUCAUGCGAGGAAGAGGUGGAGGAGACGGGUGGAGAUGCCACGCUUUUAUGACGCCUUGCAUCAUGGUAUACAGCUGGAGUGGAAAGCUGCCAUGACAUCAGCCAGAGGACAGCAGGAUUCUGGGCCUGGGACAGGAAGUGACUCACAGGAAGUGAGCUGAGCAACAUGUGGAUGCGUGGCUGUUUGAUGUGUUUUGAGCUGCUCCACAGACGCUCCGUUUCCAAGUGUGCUGGACGUCAUCGAACGGACGCUUCACAGAAAGGCGUAGUGAGCCUCCUCUCAAAUUAGCGGGCCGCUGUGGGAUAACAAAGGCCUCGGGAUCCGCCGCAGACCCUGUCCGAACUUCAGCGUCCCUCUGGCACGAGUCCAGCAGUCGUAUCCCAGCUGCCCUCAUCAAAGGUACGCGCUGCAUAGUUUCCAAACGCCGACCGCCAGAAAUCUGGAAAUCGGAUUCUGAUGCUGCAUGAAUCUGGUCGGAGGAACUGCAGAUACUUUCGGUGUGGUUUGCACUCAGUGAGACGAAUCAAAUAACUGUUCCCUGCCAGACUGAAUCCCUCCCAGCCGAUGCCUAGACUGGUGCUAGUAAAGCCAUAUGCUUGAAUUUUCCCAAGUUUGAUACAGUAAAACAAACUGUUUUACUUGCCAAGGUGCAUCUUCAGUCAGGUAUUUUAAAGUAUAGCUGAAAACAAAACUUCAGCUCAGACUGCAUUUUUUACAUAAAGAUUUUCAUUUUAGACAUUUUUUAUUAAAUCAUCAUUUUACUUUAUUACAUCAUUUUAUUAUAUGUAAAUCAAUUAAUGAAACAUUGGAAACUACCUUAAUGGGAAAGUUGGCCAUCCAGUGACCUGGUUCUGUCUUGCUGUCCAGUAGAUUUCAAACUCUAUAGCUUAAAUAAAAUAGAUGAGCACUUU